ACGGGGUCCAGACUUGUUGAACCCAGUUUGGUCUCGCAAAAGGGAAGCACGCGCAGCUGGACUAAAGGUUGAAAGCGCAGUUGAAUUUGCGCAAGCAUAGGGGACGUUUUGGAGCACCAUUCGCAGAGUUGGGGCGAUGCACAACGUAAAUCGUGUUGACUAAACGAGCCAACAAAAAUGACAGCGGGUGUACAACUACGAAUCUCGGUCGUAUAUUCGAAACUGAACCCUUUCGUCAGUGUAGUCCGACGGCCAUGAAUCUUGAUGAAAACAAUCUUGACAAUAAAUAGGUAUGCAGAGAAAGAUAGGACAUAUGUUUACUUAUUAAUAAACGUGAAAAAAAAACA